GUCACAAGUGGGGCGUGGCUUGUCCUGGGGGCGUGGCUCGAGGAGGCUGCGGCUCUGUCCACCUCCAGGACGUAACCGUCUGUGGCUAACAGUCCUUGAGCCGGAGGAGGCCGUUGCCUGGACCCUGGGCUGACUCGGCACCUCUCUGAAGUCCUCUACACGCCAUGUGGCCGCGGCUGGCCCUACUCCUCCUCCUGCAGCUCCAGGCCGCCCGGGGCGCACCCGUCCCGGCCGCCGGCCUCAAGGAAAGCCUCAAGAGCCCGCCGCAAGGUUUCAGCGGUCCCCCGUGGGAAGAGGAGACAGGAGAGGAUAUCAGUAGCCCACAGAGAGGGCCCAACCUGGAGGAGACACAGGCCUGUAGGUGGCCGCAGUCCCGCGCCUGGGCUCCCGCUCUCCUGACUCCGGAGGGGGCUGCUCCAGAGGUGCAGCCCCGAAGCCCCGAAGGAGGACCGUGAAGGGCAUCGAGGGUCACAGGCCGUCCUGGGCGGGCUUCUCAGGAGGCCACCAGGCGGGGGACCUGGGACUCUUCCCCCGCACUCCCCAGCCUCCCUUCCUGUCUCUUCCCGGUCCCAGCAGCUGCUGGAGGGGCUGGGCAUGGCCACAGACGUGAGUCCUCCUAACCCUGCCCCCAGAACCAUCUGGAAAUAAAGUCCUUUCUUGCAGUCUA